rnacentral:rRNA from 1 species
CUACGGGAGGCUGCAGUGGGGAAUAUUGGACAAUGGGGGAAACCCUGAUCCAGCAAUGCCGCGUGUGUGAAGAAGGCCUGCGGGUUGUAAAGCACUUUCGGUUGGGAGGACUGCUUCUAGCACUAAUAUUGUUGGAAGUUGACGUUACCUUCAGAAGAAGCACCGGCUAACUCCGUGCCAGCAGCCGCGGUAAUACGGGAGGUGCAAGCGUUAAUCGGAAUUACUGGGCGUAAAGCGCGCGUAGGCGGCUAGAUCAGUCGGGUGUGAAAGCCCCGGGCUUAACCUGGGAACUGCAUCCGAUACUGUCUAGCUUGAGUACAGGAGAGGAGAGUGGAAUUCCACAUGUAGCGGUGAAAUGCGUAGAUAUGUGGAGGAACACCAAUGGCGAAGGCAGCUCUCUGGCCUGAUACUGACGCUGAGGUGCGAAAGCGUGGGGAGCAAGCAGGAUUAGAUACCCGAGUAGUC